AGAGCAGAUCAGGCAGUCGCGGUGCCCUUGGGCGCCGAGGAAGGUCCGGACUCCACAGGACAGGAUGGCGGCUAACGGCCGUCCGGCGAUCGCCGCGGGCGCAAGCGCGCGGCGCGAAGCCGAGGAACAGGGCCACAGAGACGAGUCUGCGGCGAGGGCGGAUCUUUCCGCACCGGCACGGCUACUUCCGUGCCGUUCGCGCGGCAAUGCCGCGGCGAGUCGUUGCAGGGUGAAACGCGGCAACCUCCAUCCGGAGCAACACCAAAUAGGCAUGCGCGCGGCUUCGGUCGCACAGGGCGGUCCGUCCGAGCAUGCGGGUAGGUGGCUUGAGCCGUCCGGCAACGGGCGGCCUAGAGGAAUGACUGCCCGCGGGGCGACCCGUGUACAGAAUCCGGCCUAUCGAUCUGCUUUGUCU
rnacentral:RNase_P_RNA from 1 species